GAGCAAAAAAUUCAAAAACCACCAUAGAAAUUUAGAUGAAGUUGGCAAUACUAGUGCCAUGACAUGAGCCUUAAAGACCAAGUCAUUCAGGUCCCUGAAAACGAUGACGGCA
rnacentral:snoRNA from 1 species